UACGGAGGGGCUAGCGUUGUUCGGAAUUACUGGGCGUAAAGCGCGCGUAGGCGGCUUUGUAAGUUACGAGGUGAAAAGCCCGGAGCUUAACUCCGGACUGCCUUUAAGACUGCAUCGCUAGAUCGUGGAGAGGUGAGUGGAAUUCCGAGUGUAGAGGUGAAAUUCGAUGAGAUAUUCGGAAGAACACCAGUGGCGAAGGUCGACUCACUGGACACUGAUUGACGCGUGAGGCUGACGAAAGCGGUGGGGAGCAAACAGG
rnacentral:rRNA from 1 species